UACGGGGGGAGCAAGCGUUGUUCGGAUUUACUGGGCGUAAAGGGCGCGUAGGCGGUCGUGACAAGUCACUUGUGAAAUCUCCGGGCUUAACUCGGAACGGUCAAGUGAUACUGUCGGACUAGAGUACGAAAGAGGGUCGCGGAAUUCCCGGUGUAGAGGUGAAAUGCGUAGAUAUCUGGAGGAAUACCGGUGGCGAAGGCGGCAUCCUGGACCGGCAUUGACGCUGAGGAGCGAAAGCGUGGGGAGCAAACAGG
rnacentral:rRNA from 1 species